CAACUGUAGAAUUUUCUUAGCUCUCCACAAGAGUCCAGUACUCCUUAGAUUUCAGGAAAUUUUCCAUCAACAAACUCCAAUGAUCAUAGUGACCAUUGUGGAAUAGCAGGUUGAACAAAGCUACUAUUUUCAGAAGUCAUUAUAACAAUCUUGCUACUGCAAGAAUGAAAGCUGCUGCUUUUUCAAAAUCAAAUCAGGCCCCAGUAGGGAGCUCUGAUACCAAAUGUUGCAGAUGUAUAAGAAAAUAUUUGCUGCAAAGUGAAAACUAAUAUAUUGACUUGAAAGUGAUUAAAUACAAAAGCAACCAACUAAAAUACUAGAAAAUAGGAAAUCACUAAUCCCACAUUUACAACUUCUAAUAACACGGGAUACUCCUAAGAAUACUUCUAAGAAAAGUAACAAAAGCAACAGACCUUCCUAACAAAUAGGAUUUUAUUAAAGAAACUAACAAUUAGGCUAUGUGGCGUGAUUUUCUCCCUAACGCCGACUUAUUGGGCCAUGUGGCGUGAUUUUAUUUAAAUUUCUUGACCAAAAAAAUAAAGCAUAUUUAAACAUUUUUUAUGUGUUGGGGGAGGUGAGGAUUGAAUUGUUUGCAAUGAUUCUAUAGUUUACAAUGAUAUGUCUAAGUCAGAGAAUUGACUGAAAAUUGUCUAGAAAUUGUCACAAUUUUUGUUGGAUGAUGAUAACUGCUACUCUGGUUUGCUUCUUAGGUUUAUUUUUUAACCUUUAUGAAUUCAAUCUCAUUAGAAUUACUGCUAAGUUGCCUAUGAUAUGAUUCUACAAUUGUUCUCUUCUCAAUGAUGUUGAUCAGGAUAUACAUGACUUAUACAGUUAUACUACAUUUUUUGGUUACUUGAGUUAAAAUAUUUUUAUAAAAAUUGUAUUGAUCUUAUAUUUUAAUGACUCUAGUUUAUAUGUUUAUACUUGAUAUAUAUCUAUAUCUUGUACCUGUACUCUAGUUUUCAGCCAUACAUGUACUGUACCGAUUACUCAUACUCGAAUCCAUGCAAUUCACCAUCAACGUAUGUUCCCUGCUAGUGUAAGAGAGCAAAAUUAAACCAUAGUACAAAAUUUUGUAUCACAUUAGUAUAAACUCAAAUCCUUGACUUGUGCGUGAUGAUUCUUGUUUGGUUUUCUCUACCUUCUGACAUGUAUUUUGUUGUUCGUUUACAACUAUAAAUGUAAGACGAGCCUAGCCUGUAUGAAU
rnacentral:lncRNA from 1 species